CUACGGGCCGCUCCAGUGAGGAAUAUUGCACAAUGGGGGGAACCCUGAUGCAGCAACGCCGCGUGGAGGAUGACGCAUUUCGGUGUGUAAACUCCUUUUAUAUGUCAAGAAAAUGACGGUAGCAUAUGAAUAAGCACCGGCUAACUCCGUGCCAGCAGCCGCGGUAAUACGGAGGGUGCAAGCGUUACUCGGAAUCACUGGGCGUAAAGGACGCGUAGGCGGGUUGGAAAGUCAGGUGUGAAAUCCUACAGCUUAACUGUAGAACUGCACUUGAAACUUCUAAUCUAGAGUAUGGGAGGGGGGGAUGGAAUUAGUGGUGUAGGGGUAACAUCCGUAGAUAUCACUAGGAAUACCUAAAGCGAAGGCGAUCUCCUGGAACAUUACUGACGCUAAGGCGUGAAAGCGUGGGGAGCAAACAGGAUUAGAUACCCGAGUAGUC
rnacentral:rRNA from 1 species